rnacentral:rRNA from 1 species
AUUGAACGCUGGCGGCAGGCCUAACACAUGCAAGUCGAGCGGAAGGGGCUUCGGCCCCGAGAGCGGCGGACGGGUGAGGAUGGCGUGGGAAUCUGCCUGUAGAUGGGGGAUAGCCCGGAGAAAUCCGGAUUAAUACCGCAUAAUACCUGAGGGUUAAAGUGGAGGAUCGCAAGACUUCACGUCUACAGAUGAGCCCACGUCAGAUUAGCUAGUUGGUGGGGUAAAGGCCUACCAAGGCGACGAUCUGUAGCUGGCCUGAGAGGGUGGCCAGCCACACUGGAACUGAGACACGGUCCAGACUCCUACGGGAGGCAGCAGUGGGGAAUAUUGGACAAUGGGCGCAAGCCUGAUCCAGCCAUGCCGCGUGUGUGAAGAAGGCCUUCGGGUUGUAAAGCACUUUAAGUUGGGAGGAAGGUUCCAAGGCUAAUACCUUUGGGAAUUGACGUUACCGACAGAAUAAGCACCGGCCAAUUCCGUGCCAGCAGCCGCCGUAA